rnacentral:rRNA from 1 species
UACGUAGGGGGCGAGCGUUGUCCGGAUUUAUUGGGCGUAAAGAGCUCGUAGGCGGCUCAACAAGUCGGCCGUGAAAGCCUGAGGCUCAACCUCAGGACGCCGGUCGAAACUGUUGUGGCUAGGGGUCGGUAGAGGAGAGUGGAAUUCCCGGUGUGGCGGUGAAAUGCGCAGAUAUCGGGAGGAACACCAGUAGCGAAGGCGGCUCUCUGGGCCGACACCGACGCUGAGGAGCGAAAGCUAGGGGAGCGAACAGGAUUAGAAACCCCGGUAGUCC